AAGAAGGCAGUACCACUGGAGAGAUUGCUUAACAUUAACCCAUCCUAGGUUCAAACUUCAAAAGCAUGCCUGCCGAAUCCUGAGAAGUAACAGACAUGUGGAGAAUGGAUUGGAGAGGGAGACUCUUGAACAAAACCAAUGGGGAAGCUAGUCCAGAUUAAUAGUUUAGAGAUAUUGAGUGUUUAAAUAUACUAUCUGUAUGAAUGGAGAGAAGAGGUAGACACAAUCCAUUCAAAUCUUAAACCCUGUAGUCUUUGAGGGAUUCAUGGGGUGAUGGUAUAGAUUUAGGCUUGCCCUUAAAGCCCGACUAAUCCGACUCCUUAUUUCAUAGAUGAUAAACUGAUGUGCAGAGAUCAAGGUCACAAAAUGGAAUCCUAGCCAUUCUUCAAAGCCCAACUGAUAUGCUACCUUUAGAAAACCGUAGCUGAUCUCCUCACAAGUAAAUCUAAUUCCUGAUCUAUGCUCAGAAGAGGAAAUACAAAGGCAAAAGAAGGCAACCAGGAUGGGAAGUCCAGGAAUUCCUCUCUCUGUCUUAUCUGAGUAAACUCAGACAACUACUGUUUUCUGCUCACAGGCAUGGUGAAGAAAAGGAAGAUAUCUUCUUCCCAUCUCCCGUCCCAAUACCCCUUGCUGCACUUUUGUUUGGAAGUCGAAGAGGGAGAAAAAUCUGGAAAAGAAAAGGGUGGUUAGCUUGCUUUUAUAGACACAAGGGGAAAGGAAGGUUCCUCCAUCAAGACUCUGUCUUCCCUUCCGAAUCAUCUUGGAGGCAGCUCCAGUUACUGGGAUGAGUCAGAGGAUUCCUUGGUCUCUUCUCAGCAGACUGCUAGGAACAUGCCUCCUUCUGUGAGAGCUUCUCUCUUAACAAAGGCCCAUGCCUUGUAAUCCAAGGAGACUUGGAGGUCUCAUCAAAGUGGUCAGAGGGAGACUUAAGACAAGGAGACUAAUUAGGAAGUGACUCUACCUCCCUUGGCCUCCAUUUUCAAAAAGAGGGAGCUGGACUAGUUAACCUCUGAGGUCCCUUCCGUCUAGAACCAUGAUUUCACUUCAUCAUUACUGGAUGUUUUGGGUAGAAGAAGCUACAGGGAGCUUCAUUCUGCCCAUGUCAGGGCUUCCCCGUCUCUGUCAUCUCUUUCUCUUGUAAAUAACAGAAUUUCAGGGUUCAAAGGGAUUUCAAAGGUCACAGAGUCCAACCCAUCGCUGAAAGGGGUCCUCACUGCUACAGUCUCAAUAAAUGGAUGUUCGGCUUCUGCUUGAAGAUGUCCAACACGGGGGUGCCCACAACCUCCCAAGGCAGCCAGUUCACUUAUGGAUAGCUCUAAUGGUUAGGAUGUAUUUUCCUGACAUAAAACCUAAAUUUGCCUUCAUGUUACUUUCA